rnacentral:lncRNA from 1 species
GGUGCAUAUUUAAAUAAAUUGGAAGAGAAACAACAACAUAUGCCACAUUAACUGAAAUAUACAAUUACCAUAAUAUCAAUUUCUUAGUUUUCCAAAGUCUACUACUUGUAACAAAUUAUCAUCACAUAGCAAAAGAAUUGGUUAAUAUUUAUUUCAUUUGAUUUCAGAAUGGUGCUGCGAAUAAUGUAUAUAAUAUUUAUAUAUCUUAAAUUGCUUUUGACACCAUUGAAUUUGAGACCUCAAUUUAUUUGAAGUGUAAUUCAUGAUUGACAGCAUGCUCAAACUUGAAAAUUCUAUCUUUAUUUACAACCAAAUAGUGACAUUAGAAGUUAACCCGUGCAGAUGAAGGUUUUCUUUUCCAUAACAUCAUGUACUUCAGCUGCAGAAAUAUACUAAUGAGCUAAAACUAAUUUAUGAUCCUCAUUUUCCUUUCAACUAACAAAUGCUUUCUUUUUGGUUGACACCAAGAAUAUUUCUCAUCUCAAUCCAUGAAUUGAACAGUUCAAUUUGCUGAGGAGAAGUUGAAUAAGGUAAUAAUCAAUUGUGCGAUAAUUUCUAAGUAUCUCAGAUUUAUAUCAAUUUUAGUCUUUCUCCACUAUUGUAGAACAAUGUGAAGUUGCUUCUCACAUUUUUAUUUUGACACUGGCAUUGAGUACAAUAUGAAUUUAUUAAAUGUUUCGAAGAAAGAAAUUUUGGUUCUUGACAGGGCAAAAGCAAGGGACUGUUUUCAUUGUUGAUCAAUUAAAAUUUUAAACGUUGACAGUUUGGUUUCAAAGUUUUUAACUGUAACCAUUCUAUACAUCAUUUUCUUAAGGAGUAUACAAAUGCUAUAGGAUUUAGAUAUUUACAUGAGAAAUGCACUAAUAAAAGGUUAAGCUAACAAAAAAUUUGAAGCAAGAACCUGAACAUUGAUCUUCUUGUUCAUUGAGUAUCGUCGAUGCUUUUUUCCCUUUGAACUUGGCAUAGAGUAUUUUGUUGGUCAUGCAGCAAGGGUUCUACUAUAGAUGAAUUGAAGAAGGAAAACAAUAUUCGGUAUUCUGUUGAAGAAUAGCAAGCUUAAAUGAAGAGUUUAUAUCUCAUGAAUCUCCAUCAUUUGGGUUUGAUUUCACAGUAAGAAAAUAGAGUAGAAGCUGCUUGAUUACAAUCAAGAAGCUGAAAGGUUUGGAGGUAUUGAAUUUUUCCUUUAGUUCUGUUUACACUUUAUGUUUGCAUAAUUUUCUUUGCAUUAAGUGGUAUGUCACUCUUAUUAAGAUCAUUCGAGGUUAUGCUUAUAAGGAAUUAUCAAAACUGUCACCUGAUCAACGGCAUGUUGCGUACACUAUGUAUGAUAGAUUUUGGUUCGCUAUCUAAUAGGCCCCAAGCUAAUUGGAUAGAUUGGUAUUGUUGGUUUUGCUAUAACGGCUGGAUUUGUUUCCAUUGGAUAGCUUGAGAUGAAAUUAAUGUUUGAUUGUUUUUCGAUUAUGUUGUAGCAUGCUUGGCUUGGGAUGACACUGGUUUGGGAGUGUAAGGCAAAAGCCCAUUGCAUUAUUAAGCAUCAUCAAGG